rnacentral:rRNA from 1 species
UGUUAGGUUUGGUCCUGACCUUAGUGUUAAUUGCAACUAAAAUUAUACAUGCAAGUUUCAGCCCCCCUGUGAGAAUGCCCUAAGUAUUCUAUUAAAUAAUUAGGGGCGGGCAUCAGGCACACAUUUUACAUGUGGCCCAAGACGCCUUGCUCAGCCACACCCCUAAGGGUUUUCAGCAGUAAUAAACAUUGAUUAUAUAAGCGUAAGCUUGAAUCAGUUAAAGUCGACAGAGUUGGUAAAUCUCGUGCCAGCCACCGCGGUUAUACGAGUGACUCACAUUAACACUUCCCGGCGUAAAGUGUGAUUUAAGGAUGACCUCCAAAUAACUAUAGUUAUGACCUCAUCAAGCUGUUAUACGCAUUCGUGAACGGAAUAAUCAACAACGAAAGUGACUCUAAAUUACCAGGAAUCUUGAUGUCACGACAGUUGGGCCCCAAACUAGGAUUAGAUACCCUACUAUG